rnacentral:rRNA from 1 species
AUUGAACGCUGGCGGCAGGCUUAACACAUGCAAGUCGAGCGAGCGGCGGAAGGGUGAGUAAUGUCUGGGAAACUGCCUGAUGGAGGGGGAUAACUACUGGAAACGGUAGCUAAUACCGCAUACUAUCAGAUGUGCCCAGAUGGGAUGAGCUAGUAGGUGGGGUAAUGGCGACCCUAGGCGACGAUCCCUAGCUGGUCUGAGAGGAUGAACAGCAACAUGGGAACUGAGACACGGUCCAGACUCAUACGUGAGGCAGCAGUGGGGAAUAUUGCACAAGGGGCGCAAGCCUGAUGCAGCGAUGCCGCGUGUGUGAAGAAGGCCUUCGGGUUGUAAAGCACUUUCAGCGAGGAGGCGUUACGCGCAGAAGAAGCACCGGCUAACUCCGUGUCAGCCGCCGCGGUAAUUC